UGCGAAGUAGCUCAGCGGAUAGAGCACCAUAUGAAAAACAAGCCUUGACAAAGGCUUUAACAGCAACACUCAGGGACGUGGCGGUCAUGGGUUCAAAUCCCAUCUUCGCAA
rnacentral:tRNA from 1 species